UACGUAGGGGGCAAGCGUUGUCCGGAUUUAUUGGGCGUAAAGAGCGUGUAGGCGGUUUGGUAGGUCCGCUGUGAAAACUCGAGGCUCAACCUCGAGACGCCGGUGGAAACCAUCAGACUAGAGUCCGGAAGAGGAGAGUGGAAUUCCUGGUGUAGCGGUGAAAUGCGCAGAUAUCAGGAGGAACACCCGUGGCUAAGGCGGCUCUCUAGUACGGUACUGACGCUGAGACGCGAAAGCGUGGGGAGCGAACAGG
rnacentral:rRNA from 1 species